rnacentral:rRNA from 1 species
AUUGAACGCUGGCGGCAGGCCUAACACAUGCAAGUCGAGCGGAUGAAGGGAGCUUGCUCCUGGAUUCAGCGGCGGACGGGUGAGUAAUGCCUAGGAAUCUGCCUGGUAGUGGGGGAUAACGUCCGGAAACGGGCGCUAAUACCGCAUACGUCCUGAGGGAGCAAGUGGGGGAUCUUCGGACCUCACGCUCUCUGAUGAGCCUAGGUCGGAUUAGCUAGUUGGUGGGGUAAAGGCCUACCAAGGCGGCGAUCCGUAACUGGUCGGAGAGGAUGAUCAGUCACACUAGAACUGAGACACGGUCCAGACUCCUACGGGAGGCAGCAGUGGGGAAUAUUGGACAAUGGGCGAAAGCCUGAUCCAGCCAUGCCGCGUGUGUGAAGAAGGUCUUCGGAUUGUAAAGCCCUUUAAGUUGGGAGGAAGGGCAGUAGGUUAAUACCUUGCUGUUUUGACGGUACCAACAGAAUAAGCACCGGCUAACUUCGUG